UCCCUGGCGGUCCAGUGGUUAGGACUCUGCACUUCCACUAUGGGGGCCCAGGUUCGAUCCCUGGUCAGGGAA